rnacentral:rRNA from 1 species
AGCGAACGCUGGCGGCGUGCUUAACACAUGCAAGUCGAGUGCGCGCCUGUAGCAAUACAGGUGGCGCACGGCGCACGGGUGCGUAACACGUGGGUAACCUGCCCUCGGCACCGGGAUAGCCCGGGGAAACCCGGAUUAAUACCGGACAGCCUCAUGAGCUCUCGGGCUCGUGAGAAAAGGUGGCUUCGGCUUCCGGCUGAGGAUGGGCCCGCGGCCGAUUAGCUUGUUGGUGAGGUAACGGCUCACCAAGGCGAUGAUCGGUAGCUGGUCUGAGAGGACGAUCAGCCACACUGGGACUGAGACACGGCCCAGACUCCUACGGGAGGCAGCAGUGGGGAAGUCUUGCGCAAUGGGCGAAAGCCUGACGCAGCGACGCCGCGUGC